UCCCCGUGACUGAACUGUAGUGUAGUGCAGGGAGGGAGGGGGGCGGUAAACAACUGAAAGCAUGGCUCCAUUCCCCUUCUACACUGCUGCCUAACAUGGGCUGGAUUUCGUGCAUCUGAUGAUCUAUGACUUCUAUUGUAAGCUGUUUCCACAAGACUAAAGGACAAGGGCUUGUUUUUCCGAGUUGAUAAGACAAAAUCAUUGGAAGCGUCUAAGUUCAAAAUGUUACUGAACCAACGGAUGACCCUAAGUAAUUCAGUACCUCAAGCAACAGCAGAGAGAAAUCCAUGACAGCAGUGUCAGAAAAGCUGUCAAUUGUCAAUUCCCAGUCUUCCGACCUUUGUAACGAGCAAAGGAGCAGAACUGCAGUAGGCCGAAGGCUAUGUGUUUGGAGCCAAACAGUGCCAGUGUUACCUCAUUAGAUGUGUCUUCGAGCCUGCUCUGGUAAUCUGUCAAAAUACAUCUCAAACUCUCAAGGACAGCAGCAAAGCCUGCAGGUUUGUGGUUCUGUUUUUCAGAUCCCUAUAGAGAACAAAAUCUAAAAUGAUACAUAAAGAAGACACAAGUAAAAUGCAGAGAAAGAAAAGCCAUGCCACAAAGGGAUUAGACAAUGUAUAUGACAAAAUCAAACUAUGAUCCGCAGCAAUCUCUAAUGUUGUUUCACAAUAUGGUGUUGGAAAACACUGAAAGUGGAUUCAUAAUGUCAGAUUUUGUUUGACUGUUGACAAAAGGAAAAUACUAAAAUAAUGCUGGAAUGUG